rnacentral:rRNA from 1 species
GAUGAACGCUAGCUACAGGCUUAACACAUGCAAGUCGAGGGGUAACGAGAGGAAAGCUUGCUUUCCUUGUCGACGACCGGCGCACGGGUGAGUAACGCGUAUCCAACCUGCCCCCAACUAAGGAAUAACCUUGCGAAAGUAAGACUAACACCUUAUAAUUUCCUCAGAUGUCAUCUGACGAGGAAUAAAGAUUUAUCGGUUGUGGAUGGGGAUGCGUCUGAUUAGCUUGUUGGCGGGGUAACGGCCCACCAAGGCAACGAUCAGUAGGGGUUCUGAUAGGAAGGUCCCCCACAGUGGAACUGAGACACGGUCCAAACUCCUACGGGAGGCAGCAGUGAGGAAUAUUGGUCAAUGGGCGGAAGCUUGAACCAGCCAAGUAGCGUGCAGGAUGACGGCCCUAUGGGUUGUAAACUGCUUUUAUACAGGAAUAAAGUUAGCCACGUGUGGUUAUUUGUAGGUACUGUAUGAAUAAGGACCGGCUAAUUCCGUGCCAGCAGCCGCCGUAA